UUAUUACAUUUUCAUGGGAUAAUCGGCUGAUAACAAUAUAAGUAAGUUAUUACUCGACAUUUUGCGCCAAUAAUGUCCAAUCGAUACACUAAAUUAAUGGAAGAAUUAAUGGCCUGUGCAGGAGGAAAAAUGUGCAAACGUUGCUAUUCGUCGCCACCCUCUUGCAGCCGGUUGUCCGCGUUAAUUCCAGCGCGUGCCAAUCGUGUCUCGACCACCGAUCCCUCGACUAUUUUCACCAUCAGUCCGAUCUCACUAUAAGGAACAACCGUCAGUACGUGAAACGCGUGCCGCGAGGAACGAACCAACCGUAAAGCUUGGAACUUUAGAGAUCGUGUUUUCAAACGAGUCGUUUACAGGGUGAAACUUUCAACGCAUUAAUAACAGUUAAAAAGCAAUACUUUAAUAAUUCAAAGAAAUAAUUCCCUUUCGAUUUUUGUCACUGCAAUUCUGUUACAUGUUUCUUCCUUUACGUUGAAGUAAAUUGAUUCAUGGAAAAAGAGAAAUGUGAAUGUGACGUGACUUGUAGUUCUAUGUGAAAAAGAAUGCAGUUGUGUUUCGAUUAAUUCAAGACGGAUUGUAAUUGAGAAAAAUGCUAUUGAAGAAUUGGUGAUUUGAGGUAAAUGCCAAAGACUUAUAAAUAUAUUGUCGCAAUAUUUGUUAUUUUGAGAAUCGUAAUUUACGUAAUCUUUUUCUGUAGAUUAUUUGUAAAAAGUAGUAUAUUCAUCAACAAUAUAAAAAAAUAUUUU